rnacentral:rRNA from 1 species
AUUGAACGCUGGCGGCAGGCCUAACACAUGCAAGUCGAGCGGUAACAGGGAUAGCUUGCUAUCUGCUGACGGGCGGCGGACGGGUGCGUAACGCGUAGGAAUUUGCCCGAUAGUGGGGGAUAGCCCGGAGAAAUUCGGAUUAAUACCGCAUACCUUCUACGGAAGAAAGCAGGGGAUCUUCGGACCUUGCGCCAUCGGAUGAGCCUGCGUCGGAUUAGCUAGUUGGUGGGGUAAAUGCCUACCAAGGCGACGAUCCGUAGCUGGUCUGAGAGGAUGAUCAGCCACACUGGGACUGAGACACGGCCCAGACUCCUACGGGAGGCAGCAGUGGGGAAUAUUGCACAAUGGGCGCAAGCCUGAUGCAGCCAUGCCGCGUGUGUGAAGAAGCCCUAGGGUUGUAAAGCA